rnacentral:rRNA from 1 species
AGGUGUGAUCAUACCAACGUUAAUGCACCAAAUCCUAUCAGAACUCCAUAGUUAAGCACACUUGGGCUAGAGUAGUAUUGGGAUGGGUGACCUCCCGGGAAGUACUAGUGUUGCAUCCU